GAUGAAGAACGUAGCGAAACGCGAUAAGUAAUGUGAAUUGCAGAAUUUAGUGAAUCAUCGAACUUUUGAACGCACAUUGCGCCCGGCGGCACUCCGCCGGGCAUGCCUGUCCGAGCGUCAUUAUACUGCCCUCGACUCUCCGAGUCGGUGUUGGGAGCCUCUGCGCCUGUACGCAGCUCCCCAAGUCCACUGGCGUCGCGCCACGGUGCCCCCUGCGUAGUAAUUUCACCUCGCUUGGGACCCUGGGUUGCCGGCUGCCUUCUCUCUCGCAGCAGGCUCUUUCGAGUCGGCUCCAGCACAGUUGACCUCGGAUCAGGUAGGGUUACCCGCUGAACUUAAGCAUAUCAAUAAGCGGAGGA
rnacentral:misc_RNA from 1 species